GUUGGUGGGGUAAAUGCCUACCAAGGCUAAGACGGGUAGCCGGCCUGAGAGGGUGAACGGCCACACUGGGACUGAGACACGGCCCAGACUCCUACGGGAGGCAGCAGUGAGGAAUUUUCCGCAAUGGGCGCAAGCCUGACGGAGCGACGCCGCGUGAGGGAUGACAGCUUUCGGGUUGUAAACCUCUUUUAUUAAGGAAAAAGAUCUAUAUGCUAAUAUCAUGUAGAUUUGAUGGUACUUAUUGAAUAAGCCCCGGCUAACUACGUGCCAGCAGCCGCGGUAAUACGUAGGGGGCGAGCGUUGUCCAGAGUUACUGGGCGUAAAGAGCGUGUAGGCGGUUGAAAAAGUCAGGUGUGAAAUUCUUCGGCUCAACCGAGGGACUGCGCUUGAAACUUUUCGACUGGAGUUUGGGAGGGGCAACCGGAAUUCCUGGUGUAACGGUGAAAUGUGUAGAUAUCAGGAGGAACACCCGUGGCGAAGGCGGGUUGCUGGACCAAAACUGACGCUGAGACGCGAAAGCGUGGGUAGCAAACAGGAUUAGAUACCCUGGUAGUCCACGCUGUAAACGAUGAGUGCUAGGUGUAGGGGGUAUCGACUCCUUCUGUGCCGCAGCUAACGCAUUAA
rnacentral:rRNA from 1 species